CUAAAACUUUCAACAACGGAUCUCUUGGUUCUGGCAUCGAUGAAGAACGCAGCGAAAUGCGAUAAGUAAUGUGAAUUGCAGAAUUCAGUGAAUCAUCGAAUCUUUGAACGCACAUUGCGCCCUUUGGUAUUCCGAAGGGCAUGCCUGUUCGAGCGUCAUUACACCCCUCAAGCUC
rnacentral:rRNA from 5 species